UAUUCAGAGAGAUAACAGUCAC
rnacentral:piRNA from 1 species